UGCAGUCGACGGUAGAGUAGCAUUACUCGAGAGUGGCGAACGGGUGAGUAAUAUAUCGGAACGUGCCCAGUCGUGGGGGAUAACGUAGAGAAAUUUACGCUAAUACCGCAUACGAUCUAAGGAUGAAAGCGGGGGAUCGCAAGACCUCGCGCGAUAGGAGCGGCUGAUAUCAGAUUAGGUUGUUGGUGAGGUAAAAGCUCACCAAGCCGACGAUCUGUAGCUGGUUUGAGAGAACGACCAGCCACACUGGGACUGAGACACGGCCCAGACUCCUACGGGAGGCAGCAGUGGGGAAUUUUGGACAAUGGGCGCAAGCCUGAUCCAGCCAUGCCGCGUGCGGGAAGAAGGCCUUCGGGUUGUAAACCGCUUUUGUCAGGGAAGAAACGCUUUGGGCUAAUACCCCGAAGUAAUGACGGUACCUGAAGAAUAAGCACCGGCUAACUACGUGCCAGCAGCCGCGGUAAUACGUAGGGUGCAAGCGUUAAUCGGAAUUACUGGGGCGUAAAGCGUGCGCAGGCGGUCUUGCAAGACAGAUGUGAAAUCCCCGGGCUCAACCUGGGAACUGCAUUUGUGACUGCAAGCUAGAGU
rnacentral:rRNA from 1 species